UACGUAGGGCGCGAGCGUUGUCCGGAUUUAUUGGGCGUAAAGAGCUCGUGGGUGGUUUGGUAAGUCGGAUGUGAAAUCUCCAGGCUCAACCUGGAGGGGUCAUUCGAUACUGCCAUGACUAGAGUUCGGUAGGGGAGUGUGGAAUUCCUGGUGGAGCGGUGAAAUGCGCAGAUAUCAGGAGGAACACCCGUAGCGAAGGCGGCACUCUGGGCCGAUACUGACACUGAGGAGCGAAAGCGUGGGGAGCGAACAGG
rnacentral:rRNA from 1 species